rnacentral:lncRNA from 10 species
GGGAAGCUUGCUAGGGGAGCAUAUGUGUAACUCCUAGUGAAACAGGAAGAAGAAGGAUUACUGUGUCUUUGAGCCCACUGCCCCAGGGUAGAUUGUCCUACCUUGGGAGGAUAUGUCUUCUGUUGUGUUUUUCAGGGGAGAAAGUGCAGAGGGAUGAAGGAAGAAAGACUGUUGCUGAAAAGAUUCAGGAAAGAGAAUAGAUGUUUUCACAAUACCGUUAGAAGUAAGACCGAGUGAUUAUCAGGGGAGCCAACUUAUUCACCUGCUCAAUAUGGUGAUGAACAGAGAGAAUGCUCACCUUAUCUGCCAAGAAAGCCAACAUUUUUCCCUGCCAAGUUUGAAGAGUAGAAUUAAACUCAUUAAGCUUUUCUAGAUCCCACUUGUAUCUCAUUCUGAUUUUUCUUUCUAGCUUAGAUAAUGUGACUUUAAAAAAAAAAUGAACUGUUUUAUUAAUUUAAUGUGACCUUGACAGCUCUGUGUAGAUUGGAAAAAGAGCCUAAAGGAAAGCCUAGUUCUGCUCACUCUAAAGAAAACAGUGACUUUAGGAAAGAAGAUGGAGUAGUGGGGAAGAGUCAGGUCCCUGGAAGGUUUUACUUUACAGGCUUCUCUGCUCCUUAAUUGGAUCUGAGCCUUGUAGCCCCUUGAGAACACUGAGGUAGAAAUCGGAAGGGUGCUCAGUGGCUUGGACCAUGGCAUAAAGGAAGAAAAAAAAAAGAAAAGAAAAAAAACACACAUAUACACAAACAUAGAUGCCCAGACUAAAAAAGUAGCCAAAUAAGAAAGCCACAUAAAUGUCUAAACCAUCCAAAUCACAAGAUGAUCACAAGUCACCACUUCAGGGUUUCCAUCUACUACCAAAACAAGCAUAUGUAUGAAUCCAUUGAUAACAUAUCCUUUGACCCCCUGCUCUGGUAGAGUGUUACAUCUUAAGAAUUACUUUUAGCUGAUGUCUUCUUUCCUCUGCUAU